CUCAUUCUCUAGUCUGAUUCAUCAUUUUGUUUGUCUGAAGUUUCAGAGUUUUAUAAGUAAAUAAACAAAUAAUUGAAAUUGGAUAAAGUUCCUAGUAUAGUGUCAUGCCAAAUCCAUGCAAUCUGUGAAACAAUUAAACGAAUAUGUUUUUUUUCUUUAACUCAAUUCUUGUUCUUAUAGGUACUGAACAUUUGCUGCUUCUUUUCUUUGAUGCAGAAACAUGUACCCUGACCUGGCAGAGAAGACCACAAACACUUCAGCAACUAUGGUCCUCGGGGUCGCACCUGCGAAGGAGUACAACCUCUCACCAUGAUCUAUAUGUUCAAUUAUUUAGAGAGAAUUUUCUGGAACUCUUCAAAAUGUCAUGUUUCAUGCUGAUUUUGGUUUUGUUUCUUUGCAGGCAAUUUGAGGGGGUUGGCAAGGCAGCAGAGUCUGGUGAGGCUGCCCAUGGCUGCAGCUGUGGCUCCAGCUGCAAAUGCAAUCCCUGCAACUGCUAAAGGAGAUGGUGAUCUGCAUCAGCAUGCUGAUGAUAUGUACAAGUAAAUAAAGAAGCCAUUUGAUGCAAUGGCUCCUGUGUGUGUGUGUGUGCGACAGUGUGAGUCAGCUUGUGUUCUUCAUCCUGAUGUACUAAUGUGGCCUGUGAAUAUUGUGAGGUGUCUCCUGCUUUACUCUCUUGUCAGAAUGUAAUUAGAGGCUAUAUAUCAUGGCCUUGUGAUUGGAGCACCUGAAGUUUUUACAGACAACAUUAUGUUUGUGUAAUAUAAUAUGGUUUACUUGUGCAUGUAUAUGGCAUGUUCUUUCAGUUCCAUUUACUGAUGCAGUCAACCAUAUUGUCUCACCGUUCCUGCUUAUAACCCGAAAAUUGACUAACGGUGCACUUACCAAAAAGUAGUAUACAAGUUUAAGUAGGCAAAAUGAAUGACAAGAUUAUGCGCAGAAUAAAAUCUGAUUGAACAUUUGGACUGUUUGAAACUCAUAAAGAUAAAGAUAAAAAUGGAGAAUGUAAAAUGAGGUAGAUAUUAGCACAUGAUUAAUUAAAUUUUAAUUAUUACAAACUUGACAAAUAGAUAUAUUUGAUAUUUUAAAGCAACAUAUAUAUAAAAAGUUUUCGCACGAAACACACCGUUUAGUAGUUUGAAAAACGUGCUAAUGAAAAUCAAGGUAAAAUCUUAAUCUUCAUGAGAAAAGAGCACUAGUGUAUACACGUCACUGCUCUCAUGCUAGAAUAGAUAAAUUUCAGAGGAAUUCAAAGAUUUGAAUUUUUUUUUUUUUGGAAAAGAGAAAAGAGUUGAAAAUUUAAGCGAUGUUCCAAGUAACCAUAAAUAGCCAAUGAAAGCUGCUGAGGUAACCUGAAGCGGCUGAGCCGGCCGGAGCUGGAGAAGCAGAGGUUCAUGCCGGCGAUGCUCCGGCACGGCGAGGAGCGCCGCCGCCGUGAAAAACUGAAAGCCCAAUAUUAGCUGGGCCCAAACGUGAUCCCCCACGAACAUAUCGGCCCACAACUUAUUGAGCCGCGAACGGGAUGGGCCGGAAUGUGAUGGGCCGCAAGGUAUUGGGCCGGUACGGUCACCUGAAACGUGUUGGGCCGUGGGCCGUGGCCGUACCUCCCGCCGGAGAUAAGCUGCCGCCGGCGACGGCCACCGUGGUUAACCACGCACUGCAACGUCUCAACCUUUAGUAGUACAAGAAUCAAGAUGUGCAAUAGAUUUCCCCUUUUUUUUUCCUCAAAGAAAAGGAUGUGAUGAUACGCCAUUGCCAGAGCCUUCAGAUUUCUACAUUUUUGUCACAAUCUCCAUAGGAGAUCCCGUCGUUCAUAGGGAUUCCAAGGGGAAAAAAAAAAGGAAGAAACAAUUAUGGUUGGAUUAUCUGUUUGAAACAUCCUGAAGUGUUCUAAUCCACCUAUCAGAUUGGAACACAUUAGCAUUGUAGUGUACUACAGUUGCUUCACCACUCCUACAAAUAGGGAGGCCAUUCUUGAGGAGCAAAUGCACCUCUUUCAUCAACCUCAUUUUUCCUCUUGCGUACAAGUUCUUGAGAGGUGAAGAGUGAAGAGUCCCAAGGUAGAAGAAGAAGAAGAUGUCUUGCUGCGGUGGAAGCUGCUCCUGCGGUUCCUGCGGCUGCGUUGGCUGCUGCGGGUACUACCGAUUACUCAUCGUCUCUGAGGGCCUCACUUAUCAGCUUAAAUUUAAAUUUACAAUCUUAAAUUGGCUGAUUUUAAGGUUUUCCUUUCGAAGUUUAUUUUUCAGCCUUUGUUUUUAAAUCACUAAGAACACGAAUAUAAAAGUUUUAUUCACAAAUUACUUUUCGUUUAUAAAUAUGCACGAAUAAGCCAAACGGAUGGGGCAAUUCUUUGGCCUUACAUGCUUGAUCAAACUUAAUGGUGAAAAUUUACUGGAAGAAAAGCUACAUAAAAGAUGCAACAAUAGUACUAUGAGUUUUCAGUUAUUGGUCUACUGAAAGCUGAAACCUUUUCUGCUACUUUUGCCCCGGACACAGAAUGAUGUACCGUGACAUGCCAGAGAACAACACCACCAGCAACCCAGGAGCAAUGGUCCUUGGUGUUUCACCUGACAAGGGGUAUAAAUUUCAGAUUACAACAAAAUAUACUACAAAUAUCAGGUGCAUUCAUGUGUAAUUUGAAACUGAUUUGUGUUUUUCGCAGGCGCGUCGAAGUGUCUGAGAAGGCUGAAGAAUCCGGUGAGACCGGCCAUGGCUGCGGCUGUGGCUCUGGCUGCAAGUGCAACCCCUGCAACUGCUGAAGAGGACUCCUUGUAUAACAUCUACUAGUAGUAAAUAAGGGGCCAUUUGAUGCAAUGGCUCAAGUUUGUGUCACGUGCUUGGUUACUGUACUAGUGUGGUUUGUGUUGUUAGAUGGAUCUCCCUCCCCUUGAGCCCAACGGCUCAAGGGGGCCUUGACCCGCGCCCUGAUCGGGGGCGUCCAGCCGUCACACUGCGCCAUAUAAAAGGGGGUGGAGGCCGGGGCGGCACACGGUAUGAGGUUCGCUGCCGCCGCCAACUCCACCCCACAAACCCUAAUCCGAUCGAGAGGGGGCGCAGCCAGUGACGGGAAACGCCACCGCCGCGCCACGCCUCAUCGCCGGGACAUCUACGACCGUCACUGCUGCAGCCGUCAUCGCCGUCGACCUCAUCGGCGCCGCAUCCACAACAACCGAGCGCCAACGACGACGAUGGCCGACACUUCUUCAUCCUCCAACACCUCAACCAGUCGGUCUAUCUAAACCCUCUCCCGUUUUCAAUCUUUAUAGUUCAAACAUCAAACCAAUAGAUCCACCCGACUAGAUCUAACCUAGGUGAUUCUAGAGCAAAGCCUAACAAUGGUAUCAGAGCACCCUAGCGCUUAGAUCGGUUCGGGGAAAGAAACCCACAGAGGAAAAGAAAGAAAGAAAUGCAAAUGAUCCAACGGAUCGAAAAGAAAACCCUAACCCUAAUUCUUACCUCGUCGCCGGCCGUCGUCGACACCGGCAACGGAGGGGGGAGGGGCAAAGAGGCACUGUCGAGGAGCCACUCGACGGCCGUGCGUGCACCCGCGGGUGCACGCGCGCGCCGGCGAGAGGGCCCGCAGCGGCGCCGCCAUCUCCGUCGUCGCCGCUCUCUCUCUCACACUUCACGCGGGUGGAGGGCGAGAGACGGUGGGGGGAGAAGAGAAGAGAAAAGGCGCCGGCCAUGGGGGGUGGGCGCGAAGGUCGCCGGCGACGGCGACACCGCUCCGUGCGGUCGCGCGAGAAAGAAGAGAAGCUAGGGUUUGGCGUGACGGCUGGGGGGGUCGGCGGUUUUGUUUGCCCGAUCUCCCCGCCUGGCCGUCCGAUCGAACCCUAGCGGAUCGGACGGCUGGCGACGGCUGGGCCAAAAACGGCCCAAGAGGGGCGCGCGCGGCGGUUUCCCGGCCCAGGCCCACGUUGCGGCCUGGGGGAAAAAGGGGAGCGCCCGCGCGCGCCAAAAGGGCCGUGGGCCGCCGGCAAAAGUUCAAAUUAGGUCCCUCGGGGGCCGAAAAUGAUGAAAAGAGGGACAGUAGCAAAUUUUCCUUUUAUUUUGUUAAUUUUCAUGCAAAUUUCAAUAGAAUUUGAAUAGAUUUUUGCAUGUUUUACCUCUGUUUAAAUUCGAACCAACGGGAGAACUUUUACAGAGAGUAAAUUACAGAGUUUUGCUACUGUUCAUAUGAUUUUUAUAUAGAUUUUCCGCUGCAAAUAGAUGAAAUUGAUGUUUCUAAAAUUAAAUUUCGAACCAACGGGAGAAUUUAAUUUUAGGAACAUUAAUUAUGUGCUAUGAUGUUGUAAUUUUCUGACCAACGUUGAUAAUUGCAAUGUUACAGUUAUGGUUAUAUGUAUUAUGUCUAGGGAUGGCAACGGGGCGGGGCGGGGCCGGGUUGGGCUGGAACGCCCCCGACCCCGACCCCCGACUUCAGCCCCCGCCCCCGGCCCCGACCAGUGAUGCGGGUUGAAAACAUCCCCCGCCCCCGACCCCUGCGGGGCCCCGCAACCCGACCGGGGCCCCGCAUUGGGUAGCAUCUCCAUCCAAUCAGCUCAAAAAAUACAACACAAUCAUCAUUUCAUCAAAAAGAAAUAUUGUACAUAAUUAACACACCAUCAAAAAUAGCAUGAAUACUUCAAUUUCAUCAUAAAAAUUUAGCAAGAACACAUUGAUGAUAUCCAUCAUUUCACACAGUUACACACUAACACACAUGAGUUCAACUGUUCAAGCGAAUCAAGCCUUCAAAGUUCAACAGUUGAAUUGUUCAACAUAUCACACACAGCAACUCAGCAAGCAAAUCACACGAACUCAGCGGCGGCCGCCCUGUGCGCCGCCGGCCGCGCCCUUGCUGCCGGUGUCGCCUCCCCGCCGCGCCUGUGCGCCGCCGCCGGCCCGCCGCGGCGCCGCCCUGUGUGCCGCCGCCGCUGACUCCGGAGGGAGAGGACGAGCUCGAGCCGCCGGACGCCGGAGGGGAGACUGGAGAGGAGGGGAGAGGAGAUGGUGGCCUGGCGGCUGGCAGGCGCCGGUGACGCCGAGAGGGCGAGAUCCAGAGGCGAGCCGGCGAGCCGCCCACGAGCGCGCGCCGCCGCCUAGGUCACGCGGCUCACGCCACAGCCGCACCGCACGGGAUGAGUGGAUGACGGGAGGGGAGGGGAAUGGAUGUGGGGAGGAGAGAGACUGAGGGAUGUGCUGCUAGGGUUAAGGAUUUUUUUAGUGGGCUGGGCUUUUUGGGCUUUCUUUGAUCUAUAUUUUGAGGUCUAUAUGUACUCCCCGGGGGCCCGCGGGUCACCCGCGGGUGAAAUCAGUCCCCCGUCCCCUCCCCGCCCAAAUGCGGGGCCCCGUCCCCGACGCACCCGCGGGUCGAAAAUCGGCCCCGCCCCCGCCCCCGUAGGGGCGGGUCCCCGCAGGGGACCCGGCCCCGCGGGGGAAAUUGCCAUCCCUAAUUAUGUCUAAUUCUGCCCAACGGUGAUGUAGGCUUAAUGCAUAUUAUUUUAAUGUUAAUUUUUGUUCUCACCGUACGUGAUUAUUUCAGGUGGCUACUCCUUGAUGGGUUGCAUUAAAGAUAUUCCGACCCUGAAAGGAGAUAACUACGCAGAAUGGAAAAGAAAACUCGACCUUGCUUUUAUCUUGGGAGAGGUGGACUGGGUGUUGACUACCCCAUGUCCUAUAGAACCUGCUGAACUUAUCAGAGGUGAAAAUGAGUCAGAUGCUGACUGGCAAAAGAGACAGAGGGACAAUGCUCCUCUCGUCAUGUCGUAUGACAUUGAACAAAAGAAAUGGUCCUUAGCCAACAAGAAAUGUUUGGCUGUGGUAAAGAACACGAUUGAGCCAACCAUAUUGGGCUCAAUCCCAGAGUGUGACGCAGUCUCAGAUUACCUUGAAAGAAUAAAGAGUCAGUUUACUGGCUCUUCAAAGACUUAUGCUACACAACUGAUCAAGCAGCUUGUGACAGAAAGGUACCAUGGAGGUGGUGUUAGAGACCACAUACUUAGGAUGAGCAACAUGGCUUCCAAGUUGAAGCCAAUGGAUUUGGGCAUAACAGAUGACUUUAUGGUCCAUCUGGUUAUGGCCUCAUUGCCAAAGCAGUUUGACAAUUUUAUUGUCAACUACAAUAUAAGUCCAGAGAAAUGGAAAUUUGAAAAGCUCAUUGCUAAUUGUGUGCAAGAGGAGGAGAGAAUCAAAGAGUCAAAUGGUGGUUCAAUAAACUAUGUUAAAGAUAACAAGAAAAAGAACCACAAGUCUCCCACCUCAAAAGCUAAACAGUCUCAGCAUCUGCUUCAGCAACAAUAGUUCGCUGUUGAGAAAGAUCAGUGUCUCCACAGCAAGAAGACAGGACAUUACAAGAAAGACUGUCCUGACUUCUUGAAAAUGAUCAUGGCAAGGAAAGGUGAGAACAUUAUUACAUUUGUAAAUGAAUCUCAUUAUGUUGGUUACUCUAGAUCCACAUGGUGGAUUGAUUCUGGAGCAACUAUUCAUGCUUGUAAUUGUUUAAAGGCAUUCCGUUCGACAAGGACUACGCAAAGAAGAGAAAGCUCCAUUAGAGUUGCCAAUGGAGUUGAAGAAAAAGUUGAAGCUGUUGGAGAUCUUCCUCUAGAGAUUGCGAAUGGCUUCACACUUUUACUUCGAGAUGUCUUUUAUGUUCCUUCUUUGCAAAGAAACUUAAUAAGUGUAUCAAAGUUGGAUUUUGAUGGAUAUGAUUGCCGCUUUGGAAGUGGCAAAUGUGAACUAUGGUAUAAUAAUGCAUGUGUUGGUCUUGCUGUGUUGCGAGACAAGCUUUAUUUGUUAUCUCUUUCUGAGAAUGUGAAUGUUGUGUCCUCGUUGACAAAAGAAAACAAGAAAAAAAAGAGAACUCCCGAUGUCUCAUCGAAAUUAUGGCACUGUCGUUUGGGCCAUAUUUUGAGGGGGUGAAUUGAGAGACUAGUUAAGAAUGAAAUUCUUCCUCCAUUGGAGUUCUCAGACUUAGAACAAUGCAUAGAAUGCAUUAAAGGAAAAUUUAUAAAGAGCAUCAAAAAUGGUGCAAAACGAAGCGCAGGAAUUUUAGAGAUCAUUCAUACAAAUAUUUGUGGUCCAUUUCCUGUGAAAAGUGUGGAUGGCUAUGACUCGUUCAUAACAUUCACAGAUGAUUACUCCCGCUAUGGUUAUAUUUAUACAAUUAAAGAGCGAUCAGAAGCAUUGGAUAAAUUUAAGAUAUUCAAAGCUGAAGAUGAAAAUCAGCAUGAUAUAAAGAUUAAAGUAGUAAGAUCUGACCGUGGGGGGGAGUACUAUGGUCGACAUACGCCUUAUGGGCAAGUCCCUGGACCUUUUGCAAGGUUCUUGCUAGAGAAUGGAAUAGUAGCCCAGUAUUCAACACCGGGCGAACCUCAACAGAAUGGGGUAGCUGAAAGGCGUAACCGUACCCUUAUGUAUAUGGUGCGCAGCAUGAUGAGCUACUCCACACUACCACUGGGUUUAUGGAUGGAGGCGUUAAAAACCGCUAUUCAUAUUCUCAACAGAGUUCCAAGCAAAUCGGUGACCAAAACACCGUAUGAGCUAUGGAUAGGAAGAGUACCCUCGCUAGCUCACCUCCGUGUGUGGGGGAGUCCUGUACAAAGUAUUUAACCCAAAUAUUGGGAAGUUGGAUCCAAAACAGUCAGCUGCCAUUUUAUUGGCUAUCCUGAAAGAUCAAAGGGCUAUCGUUUCUACUGUCCAAAUAGUUAUACAAAGUUUGUAGAAACGAGACAUGCCGUCUUCUUGGAAGGCGAAAUGAUUAGGGGGAGCUCAGUAGUUCGAGAAAUUGAUCUUGAGGAGAGGCGGGUGUCUGUACCCGCUCCGUCGACUCAGGAACCUUUCUUCUCUCUACCUGCUGAUGGUGUGCCUGCAAUGCCUGUCAUUGUGGUACCAGCACCUGUUGUUACCUCUCCUGUGGCAACAAUAAAUGAAAAUGAGGAACCUGUUAUACAAGAUUCAAUAGAAAUGGUUGCCACACCAGAGGAGGAGCUGCAACAGCCUCAAACAGAUAAUGUGCCAGUACAGGAGACUCAACAAGAGCCUCAGGUAUAGGAUGUGCCAAAUGUGGAGGCCCCUAGAAGGUCUGAAAGAGUCAGAAGAUCGGCUAUCCGUGAUGACUAUAAAGUUUAUAACAUAGAAGAGUCACAUAUGGAGGAUGAUCCCACCUCAUAUGAAGAGGCCAUGAGAAGCGCUCGCUUGUCUGAAUGGUUGGAAGCCAUGAAAGAUGAAAUGAAAUCAAUGAAACUAAACGAUGUUUGGGAUUUAGAAGAAAUUCCUAAAGGAGCGAAAAUAGUAGGCUGUAAGUGGGUCUACAAAACCAAAUAUGACUCCAGAGGGAAUAUAGAAAAGUUUAAAGCGUGACUUGUGGCAAAAGGCUUCACGCAACGAGAGGGGAUUAAUUACAAUGAAACAUUUUCUCCAGUCUCUUGUAAAGAUUCCUUCAGGAUUAUAAUGGCACUAGUGGCACAUUAUGAUUUGGAAUUACAUCAGAUGGAUGUAAAAACGACAUUUCUAAAUGGAGAUUUGGAGGAAAAAGUAUACAUGGCGCAACCGAAAGGUUUUGUCAUGAAAGGAAACGAAAAUAUGGGAUGCCGUCUAAAAGAUCCAUUUAUGGAUUAAAGCAAGCUUCGAGACAGUGGUACUUGAAGUUUGAUGGGACAAUAAAGAAAUUUGGGUUUCAAGAGAAUGUCGAGGACAACUGUAUUUAUUCAAAGUUUAAGAAUGGGAGAUUUAUUUUCCUAAUUCUGUAUGUGGAUGACAUUCUACUGGCUAGUAGUGAUGUCAGUCUACUGCAGGAAACAAAGAAAUUCUUGUCCUCAAACUUUGACAUGAAAGAUCUCGGUGAAGCUUCAUAUGUUUUGGGCAUAGAGAUUCACCGAGAUAAAACAAAGUAUGCAUUGGGACUUUCUCAAAAGACAUAUAGAAAAGGUGUUGAAGAAAUUCAACAUGAACAGAUGCAGUGCUACACCUGCUCCUAUAGUCAAAGGGGAAAAGUAUGGGGCAUCGCAAUGUCCCAGAAAUCAAUAUGAGCUCAAUGAAAUGAAAACAAAGCCAUAUGCGUCAGCUGUAGGAAGCCUACAGUACGCGUAAGUGUGCACACGACCUGACUUGGCAUUUGUUAUCAGGUUACUUGGCAGAUUUCAGAGUAAUCCAGGCCCAGAGCACUGGAAAUUGGUAAAGAAAGUCUUGCGUUAUUUGCAAGGAAUAAAAGGCCUCAUGCUGUCUUACAGAAGAUCAGAAUCGCUCUAGAUAGUGGGGUAUUCAGAUUCUGAUUUUGCAAAAGAUAAUACAAAGUCAACAUCGGGGAUAUGUGUUCACCCUGGCAGGAGGAGCUAUUUCAUGGAAAAGCUCAAAACAGACUAUCACUGUAGGGUCUACUAUGUAUGCCGAGUUUAUAGCAUGCUAUGAGGCAACGGGGCAGGUGAACUGGCUAAAGAAGUUCAUACCUAGUUUAAAGGUGGUUGACAGUAUUGAGAAACCACUAAAGUUAUACUGCGACAACGAACCCGCAGUAAUGUACGCUCACAACAAUCAGUCAAGUGGUGCUGCCAAACACAUUGACAUAAAGUACUAUGUUGUGAAGGACAAAGUCCGGGAUCAAACAAUCAGUCUCGAGCACAUUAAAACAGAAAGGAUGCUCGCGGAUCCGCUCACGAAAGGCCUACCACCCAACGUGUUCAAGGAACAUGUAGCCGGCAUGGGUUUAAGGGAAGCCUUAUGAAUCCUGGACUACAGGGCCCAAAAGUAAAAGUAUCUGUUUCUGAAUAGAGAUGUGUAUAGUGGCUGUCGAAUCCAUCGGUGAUUGAGCGUGACGAUGAAACAUGCUAUAUGUGCAAAUCUGUGAUGGAAUAGAAAAAGGCUAAAAGAAAUAGUGAGAUCAAGGGGGAGAAUGUUAGAUGGAUCUCCCUCCCCUUGAGUCGGGCCUUGACCCGCGCCCUGAUCGGGGGCGUCCAGCCCAAUGGCUGGUGGGCCCCCGUCACACUGCGCCAUAUAAAAGGGGGUGGAGGCCGGGGCGGCACACGGUACGAGGUUCGCUGCCGCCGCCAACUCCACCCCACAAACCCUAAUCCGAUUGAGAGGGGGUGCAGCCAGUGACGGGAAACGCCACCUCCGUGCCACGCCUCAUCGCCGGGACAUCUACGACCGUCAUUGCCACAGCCGUCAUCGCCGUCGUCGUUGUUCUCUCUCACACACUUCACGCGGGUGGAGGGUAACCAAAACAUCAAACAUCAAACCCUCUCCCGUUUUCAAUCUUUAUAGUUCAAACAUCAAACCAAUAGAUCCACCCAACUAGAUCUAACCUAGGUAAUCCUAGAGCAAAGCCUAACAUGUGUGUGUUCUGAAUUUCUGAUCACCUGAUCAGAAACCUGAGGAUUCCAAGCCACAAGUAUCCUUGUGUGUCAAAUGUUGUGUGGAAUCAAUAAAAUCAAGUUUGCUGUGCAUGUGCCCAAGAAUUCAGGUUGUCCAAGAAACUUCAGGUUCUAUAUUUCAAUUUGCACAUGAAUUUUCAAAUCAAAUUCGUACAAGAAAAGGUGUUAUCUUAGUAUGAAAAUCGAGUUUUACUUUUACCCAUUCAAAUUAAAUUUGCACAAGGACGGACACGGAUCUAGAUCUACUUAGGCGUGGUACAAAUUUGACUUUUUGGAAACUUAAUUAAAUUCAGCUUGUUUUAUGCCAGCAAUUUGAAUCCAACACGUACACGAAAAGUGAUCAAUUUCAAAUUGCACAAUAAUGCAACUAUCUUAAACAAAAAGGUCAGCAUCAUAGUAUUGAAGCAAGAUGGAAACAGCUAAGAAUUUCCUCAAAUUCAAUGCAUCUAUCGGUAAGAAAAUUUGAAUUCAAUUCAAUACAAAUUGCCUUCCCGACCUGCUUAGAUCAUCCUGACAUGAUCAUGCUUGACAUAUUGUGCAAGCUAUAAAUAGAGGGACAUAUGUGCUCUGCUAGGCAAUUGCACUAAACUCACCUCAAGCUUUCUCAACACUUCAUUGCACACAAUUUCCUGAAGAGUUAAACAAGAGACCUAAAAAAUCAAGAUGUCGUGCGGUGGAAGUUGCAACUGCGGUUUAAGCUGCGGCUGCGGGUACUUUUUUCAUAUGCUGAUUUAUCAAAAUAAACUGAAAUAAGCUUUCAGAAAUAGCAGUUACUUCGUUUUGUUGAUUUUUUUUUCGCUCAAAAAGUUUGGUUGAUUUUAACGUACUUUCCAUGAUAAAAAAAACAUGCUAUUUCCAUUGCUUCAAAGUUCAAAGUUUGUUCAGAUAAAGUUACAUGUAAGAUGAGAAGAGAUUAUCACUAAUUCAUUAUCAGUUACUUUACAUUCAUUUUAUGUCCUGCUUUUUUUCUUGGUUCAGAAAGAUGUACCCUGAUCUGGCAGAGAAGAACACCACCAUCACCACCUCAGAUACCAUGAUCCUCGGUGUUGCACCUGAAAAGGGGUAUAGCCAUCUAGCUUAUAUUUCAUCUUAAAGAAACUGAACUGAAGAAUCUCAUUAGUACCAGCUGAGCUUCAGAUUUGAAUCAGACCACAACAUUCUUUCUAUGCCUGAAUUUGUCUGCUUCUUUCUUACGCAGGCGCGGCGAAGCGGUGUUCGAGGCUGCUGCCGGCUCCGGUGAGGCCGACCAUGGCUGCAGCUGCGGCUCCAGCUGCAAGUGCAACCCCUGCAACUGCUAAGAUCAAGGGAUUAGUGACCGUAGCAUGCACCAGCAUGCCUAUCUGUGAUGAACAAAUAAAUAAAAUAGGCCAUCCAGUGUGAUGGGUUCAAUCACUGUAUGUUUGGCUGUGUGAAUUACUGGUCAUCAUCUUGCCAGUGUGCCCUGUGUAAUGUUGUUCAGUGAAAUAUAAGAUGGCUUGUUUAUGAAUUUUCCUCUCUCAUUAUCUCUUGUUUUUACCAUUCUAUGGUAGAAAUUACAGAUUCCCAUUGCUUGGUCAGAUGGCUGCUUUACCUGAUCUUAGCCUGUUAUUAUAUUAGUGUGGUCUAUGUGUAUUUCUAAAUUCUGUUCAUUUGACCUGAAAUUUUCACGCUACCAUCAGGAAGCCUACCGGAGGGACUGAAAUUCCGAAAUAUCAGAAAUUUCAAAUGAAUAGCAUUGAAAAUUACUAAAUUUGAUUUUGUUUGCUAAAUUAAAAAAAAUCCGUCCGGAAGAACCUCCUACAGGCACCCACGGGUAAUAACGAAAUUUCAGAAAAUUAGAUCUGAAAUUGUAAACCCUGAUACGAUGCUGUGAGAUAUCGAUCCCAACAACUUCAAAUUCAGUGAGGUAUAUGUAUUUGUGGUUUGAUUAAAGGCACGUAUUUCAAAUUCAGUUGAUACAUGAACAUGUUCAGAGCAGGUUUGAUUUGGUCAUAAAAUCAUCAAACUCAAAUGCAGUCUAGGUCAUGCAAUAAAUUUAAAUUGAAUUCGUACAGCAAGUUAAUCAAAUUUGAUGUGUACAAGAUAUGUUUAAGUACGUGUCUGGUGUAGCUAGCUAGCGCCGUGGAUUUGAAGGAACGAUGAUUUGGUCAGUAGCUUGAGGGAUCUGAAUUCUUGGCGUAUGAUAAACUUGAGUUCAAAAAAUACAAGACACAUCAGUUUUAUAUUUCAAUUCGUGUAAACCAUUGAAUUCAAUUCAUGCAAGGGAACUGAAUUUGCAUAUUUCAAUUCAUACUCUUAGCUCAUUUAAAUUGACAUUUGCACGAUGAUGAGUGUGCCUUUUGGGGGUGGAACUGGUAUAAGUUUGACUUUUGGGGAACUUAAUCAAAUCCAGCGUGGUUCAAGCAAGAAAUUUGAAUUCAACUCAUACAAGAAACGUAUUCAAUUUCAAGCUGUGCAAUAAUGCAUCUAUCUUAAGCAAAGGGUCUGCAUCAUAGUACUGAUGCAUGAUUGAAACAGCUAAGAACUUGAUCAAAUUCAACGGUUUUUCGUGAUGAAAGUUUAAAUCCAGUUCAUACAAGAAACUUAUUCAGAUUGUUUGAUUUAAAUAUGAGCAACAAGGCGUCGACCUUAAGCAAAGGUUGACAUCAUGGUGUGAAAGCAAAUUUGAACCUGGCCAAAACUUGGAUCACAUUUGUCCAGAAACUUGGUUCAGAUUAACAGUAAUUAAAAUAAUGCAACCUUUGCACGUAAGCAACUACUCCCUCCGUUCCAUAAAAAACCAAUCUAGUACCAGAUGUGACACAUCCUAGUAUUAUGAAUCUGGACAUACAUAUGUCCAGAUUCAUCGUACUAGAUUAUGUCACAUCUAGUAUUAGAUUCGUUUUUUAUGGGACGGAGGGCGUAUAUAAAAAUCGUCAAUAUUUUUAUAUUUUAGGGCACUUAUCAAUACUAUCUUCAACUAAGAAUGACGCAAUUGCACCCCAAACAAAUAUGCUUUUUUAAAACUCCGGGAAAUGCAUAUAGAAAACUGACGUCAAUGAAUGAUAAUGAUUUUUCAAGGCCAUUUCAACCAGCUACAUCUUUCUGGCAUGAUAAUGCUUGAAAUAAUUGUGCAGCUUAUUCUCAAGCGUACUACUACUAUAAAUAGGGGGGCAUAUCUGAACUGAGUUCAUAUCAAGCUUUCAAUCUCUCAUUUCAUCCAACUAUACAAGUUCAAGAGUUUACAAGAGACCCAGACGAUCAAGAUGUCGUGCGGUGGAAGUUGCAACUGCGGUUCCUGCGGAUGCGGCGGUGGCUGCGGGUACGUUCGAUCUUCAGCUAUUGAUUCUGAAUAUGUUUGCUAUGUAUUUGUCAACAUAAACUGUCAUAAGCUUUGAUGAUUUUGAUGUACUUUCCAUCAUAGAAGAAUACUAUGUUAGCCCCAAUAGUUCUGCUUACAAUUGAUUUGAAGUUAUAUUCAGUUGAAGCCAUCCAUAAGACAAAAAAAAAGUUGUCAUUUCUAGUUACUGAAUUUUGCGUUCUGUUUUUUGUUUUCUUGGUUCAGAAAGAUGUACCCUGACCUGGCUGAGAAGAUCACCACCACCACCACUACUGCAACCACUGUCCUAGGUGUUGCACCUGAGAAGGGGUAUGAUAUCUCUGAAUCUUUUCACUGAUAAAAAACUUCACUGAAGUAAAAAAAAUCCUACCUGAGAUUCAGACAUGAACAAUAUGCUGUGAUCUACAUCUUUCCAUGCCUGAAACUGUUCGUUUCUGAAUUUGCCUUGUUGAUUUGCAGGCACUCUGAGGGGGUUGGCAAGGCAGCUGAAUCUGGCGAGGCUGCCCAUGGCUGCAGCUGUGGCUCCAGCUGCAGGUGCAACCCCUGCAACUGCUAAGGCCAAGGCGAUCUAUGACUGAAUUGCCAAUGCACCAGCCUGUCUACAUGAUGAAUAAAUAAAGAGUCCAUCCAGUGUGAUGGCUCAUGCCUGUGUGAGUGUGACUGAAUCCAUCAGUGUGUGUGUGUGUUUGUGUCAACCAUGUGUGAAUCAGGUGUCAAAAAUCGUGGCUGGAAAUCCAUGUGGUUUCUAGCUUUAUGUAAAUGUUGUUUGUGAAAUAUAAAUAUUGUUUUGUGUAUGUGAAUUUUACUCUCUCAUUUUUCUCUUGCACUCACCAUUCUAUUAU
rnacentral:lncRNA from 1 species